rnacentral:rRNA from 1 species
CCUACGGGGUGCAGCAGUGAGGAAUAUUGGUCAAUGGUCGGGAGACUGCACCAGCCAAGCCGCGUGAGGGAGGAAGGUACAGCGUAUCGUAAACCUCUUUUGUCAGGGAACAAGUGCGGGGACGUGUCCCCUGAUGAGUGUACCUUAAGAACAAGCAUCGGCUAACUCCGUGCCAGCAGCCGCGGUAAUCCGGGGGAUGCGGGCUUUAUCCGGAUUUAUUGGGUUUAAGGGGUGCGCAGGGGGGCUGUUAAGUCCGCGGUCAAAGCCCGGGGCUCAACCCCGGCCCGCCGUUGAAACUGGCAGUCUGGAGUGGGAGAGAAGUAUGCGGAAUGCGCGGUGUAGCGGUGAAAUGCAUAGAUAUCGCGCAGAACUCCGAUUGCGAAGGCAGCAUGCCGGCUCCACACUGACGCUGAGGCACGAAAGCGUGGGUAUCGAACAGGAUUAGAUACCCGAGUAGUC